GACGAACGCUGGCGGCGUGCUUAACACAUGCAAGUCGAACGGAAGGGCCCUGCUUGCAGGGUACUCGAGUGGCGAACGGGUGAGUAACACGUGGGUGAUCUGCCCUGCACUUCGGGAUAAGCCUGGGAAACUGGGUCUAAUACCGGAUAGGAGCCAUUUUUAGUGUGAUGGUUGGAAAGUUUUUUCGGUGUAGGAUGAGCUCGCGGUCUAUCAGCUUGUUGGUGGGGUAAUGGCCUACCAAGGCGGCGACGGGUAGCCGGCCUGAGAGGGUGGACGGCCACAUUGGGACUGAGAUACGGCCCAGACUCCUACGGGAGGCAGCAGGGGGGAAUAUUGCACAAUGGGCGCAAGCCUGGUGCAGCGACGCCGCGUGGGGGAUGACGGCCUUCGGGUUGUAAACUCGUUUCGCUAGGGACGAAGCUUUUUGUGACGGUACCUAGAUAAGAAGCACCGGCUAACUACGUG
rnacentral:rRNA from 1 species